GACGAACGCUGGCGGCGUGCUUAACACAUGCAAGUCGAACGAUGAAGCCGGAGCUUGCUCUGGUGAAUUAGUGGCGAACGGGUGAGUAACACGUGAGUAACCUGCCCUUGACUCUGGGAUAACUGCUAGAAAUGGUAGCUAAUACCGGAUACGACCCUCGGAGGCAUCUUCAGGGGGUGGAAAGAAUUUCGGUCAAGGAUGGACUCGCAGCCUAUCAGCUAGUUGGUGAGGUAGCGGCUCACCAAGGCGACGACGGGUAGCCGGCCUGAGAGGGUGACCGGCCACACUGGGACUGAGACACGGCCCAGACUCCUACGGGAGGCAGCAGUGGGGAAUAUUGCACAAUGGGCGCAAGCCUGAUGCAGCAACGCCGCGUGAGGGAUGACGGCCUUCGGGUUGUAAACCUCUUUUAGUAGGGAAGAAGCGAAAGUGACGGUACCUGCAGAAAAAGCACCGGCUAACUACGUGCCAGCCGCCGCAGUAAGAC
rnacentral:rRNA from 1 species